rnacentral:rRNA from 1 species
AGUGAACGCUGGCGGUAGGCCUAACACAUGCAAGUCGAACGGCAGCACAGUAAGAGCUUGCUCUUACGGGUGGCGAGUGGCGGACGGGUGAGGAAUACAUCGGAAUCUACUUUUUCGUGGGGGAUAACGUAGGGAAACUUACGCUAAUACCGCAUACGACCUACGGGUGAAAGCAGGGGAUCUUCGGACCUUGCGCGAUUGAAUGAGCCGAUGUCGGAUUAGCUAGUUGGCGGGGUAAAGGCCCACCAAGGCGACGAUCCGUAGCUGGUCUGAGAGGAUGAUCCGCCACACUGGAACUGAGACACGGCCCAGACUCCUACGGGAGGCAGGAGUGGAGAAUAGUGGAAAAUGGGCGAAAGCCUGAUACAGCCAUACCGCGUGGGAGGAGAAGGCCUUCGGGUUGUAAAGCCCUUUUGUUGGGAAAGAAAAGCAGCAGGUUAAUACCCCGCUGUUCUGACGGUACCCAAAGAAUAAGCACCGGCUAACUUCG